rnacentral:rRNA from 1 species
AGUAACGCGUGGAUAACCUGCCUCACACAGGGGGAUAACAGUUAGAAAUGACUGCUAAUACCGCAUAAGCGCACAGUCUCGCAUGGGACAGUGUGAAAAACUGAGGUGGUGUGAGAUGGAUCCGCGUCUGAUUAGGCAGUUGGCGGGGUAACGGCCCACCAAACCGACGAUCAGUAGCCGGCCUGAGAGGGUGAACGGCCACAUUGGGACUGAGACACGGCCCAAACUCCUACGGGAGGCAGCAG